GAUGAACGCUGGCGGCGUGCCUAAUACAUGCAAGUCGAGCGAACAGACGAGGAGCUUGCUCCUCUGACGUUAGCGGCGGACGGGUGAGUAACACGUGGAUAACCUACCUAUAAGACUGGGAUAACUUCGGGAAACCGGAGAUAAUACCGGAUAACAUGUUGAACCGCAUGGUUCAACAGUGAAAGACGGUCUUGCUGUCACUUAUAGAUGGAUCCGCGCCGCAUUAGCUAGUUGGUAAGGUAACGGCUUACCAAGGCAACGAUGCGUAGCCGACCUGAGAGGGUGAUCGGCCACCCUGGAACUGGGCCACGGUCCAGACUCCUACGGGAGGCAGCAGUAGGGAAUCUUCCGCAAUGGGCGAAAUCCUGACGGGGCAACGCCGCGUGAGUGAGGAAGGUCUUCGGAUCGUAAAACUCUGUUAUUAGGGAAGAACAAAUGUGUAAGUAACUAUGCACGUCUUGACGGUACCUAAUCAGAAAGCCACGGCUAACUACGUG
rnacentral:rRNA from 1 species